UGGGGAAUUUUGGACAAUGGGCGCAAGCCUGAUCCAGCCAUGCCGCGUGCGGGAAGAAGGCCUUCGGGUUGUAAACCGCUUUUGUCAGGGAAGAAAUCUUCUGAGUUAAUACCUCGGGAGGAUGACGGUACCUGAAGAAUAAGCACCGGCUAACUACGUGCCAGCAGCCGCGGUAAUACGUAGGGUGCAAGCGUUAAUCGGAAUUACUGGGCGUAAAGCGUGCGCAGGCGGUUUUGUAAGACAGAGGUGAAAUCCCCGGGCUCAACCUGGGAACUGCCUUUGUGACUGCAAGGCUUGAGUGCGGCAGAGGGGGAUGGAAUUCCGCGUGUAGCAGUGAAAAUGCGUAGAUAUGCGGAGGAACACCGAUGGCGAAGGCAAUCCCCUGGGCCUGCACUGACGCUCAUGCACGAAAGCGUGGGGAGCAAACAGGAUUAGAUACCCUGGUAGUCCACGCCCUAAACGAUGUCAACUGGUUGUUGGGAAGGUUCCUUCUCAGUAACGUAGCUAACGCGUGAAGUUGACCGCCUGGGGAGUACGGCCGCAAGGUU
rnacentral:rRNA from 1 species